rnacentral:lncRNA from 1 species
GGAUGGUACUACUGCUCGCAGUGAGGCUGCUGGAGUUUGACUGACGCAUCAAUAUGGAUCUUAAUGAGCCAUUGUAGUGGAUGUUGGCGAUAGUUGGUCCACUGUAGGAGUGGGGUGUGCAUCAAAAUGGAAUUUAAGAGGCUGAGUCCUUAAGUCUAUGGCCAUAGCAGUGUUGUUAUGAUUUGACAUCUCAAGAUUCAGUCCAUAUUGAGCCCACAGCGAGAUUCGCGGUGAAAAAUGGAGUUCAACGAGACCAAGAUCACUCCAAACGAAGCUCGGAUGGAGGAGAUACGAGCUUUUGNNNNNNNNNNNNNNNNNNNNGGCCUGCGCGCGUGGGCCAGCCCAGGCCCAGGCACCUUGCUUGGGCCUAUACCCCGAUCCACGAUUGGGCCUGUGGACCGCGUGGGCGUUUCCCACGCAUUUCUCGCGGUCCACGACACUAUUUCGUGGAUCGAAAUGCGAUCGGAUGACGUGGGUGGCUUCCGGUCUUGAUCCGACGGUCCAGGAGGUUAUUUAGCUUCAUUUUGGACUCCUAAUCCCUCUCUAAUUAGGUUUAAGCCCUUUAAAUAGGGCUGAAUGGUGAAACAGAGAGAAGGCGGCUUGGUUUUAUCUCACGAAAAUCCGUGAGGGCUGUGUUCGCACAAAAAUCAGAGAAGAUCGGAGCCCGUGAAGGAGAGAGAGAAGGCUGUAUGCUGUGAGAGAAGGAGCAGGAGGCUCCUGGAUAGCGGACGUCGGUCACUUCAGGAGUUCAGGGGGUCUUCCAAGAGAGAGAGAGAGCUUUUGAGAGGAGAAUUUCUAGUGAGACAGAAUUGGGUGUAUAAGGAUUGAGGGUGAGGUCUCCUCUUGUAAAUUUUUUUUCAUAGUGAAGUUUGUAUGCCCCGUGGAGGCGAGCCCUUUUGUCGCUAAUCCACGUAUUUUGAUUGUUUUGUUUCUUCUUUCUUCCUACUGCAUCGCGUGGUACUGAAAAGAUCUUGGGAGGUGGUGUCCUGACUAGACAUCCACCCAAUAAAUGGUAUCAGAGUAAGGCGGUAUAAGGAUGCAAAUUGCAGUGGUGGUGAGCAAAACUGAAGAUGGAGAAGACAGGAACAAUCAAGAUAGAGAUCAACAAGUUCGAUGGUAAGAGCAAUUUCUCCUUGUGGCAGGCAAGGGUGAAGGACGUGCCCAUCCAAUAGAGGUUGAUCGAUGCUCUCUUGUGCGAUGAGAAGCCGACCACCAUGGAGAUGCGGGAUUAGAAACGGCUAUAGAUGCAGGCGG